UAGUUUAUCAAAAUUUCAAUUUGCAAAAGGUAUAUUUGUGGAAUAAUUGAGUAGUUUUUAUUAUUAUAUUUUUUUGUUCAAAAAAAGAAUUCCGGAUGUAUCCUUGGGAUUGUGUAUAUUAGGUUCAAAGGCGCGCUUACAUAUUCCAAAUUCAGCGGGAAAUCGUGGAGCUUCGGCGCCUUCUCUUUCCGACGUCCAAAUCAAAGAAGUUUUAAAUGCAAAAGAAACCUGAUAGUUGAGACCAGGCUGCAGACCAUAUCGUGAGACAACUUGGGGCAAAGGAUAAAGAGGUCACUUUGGAAAAAAUAGACGUGUUCAUGAAUAAUUCAAAAUGGCUUUUGAAAUAUUCUCUCAAAUCCUUCACUCAUCAAGUCUUACAACUCAGUUCUAAAUCCGAAGAAUAACAGGUCAACAAUAGUGGUAAUCUGAAUCGUGUUCGAGUGGAGAUUGGUGUGGUGCAGGCGCUUUAAAGCUCGAACACGCGUACAAGGUCAAAUUUGGAAUUACUCACUUGACUAAAGCAUAUUUACUCACCAGGUACUUUUAUGUAUAUAUAUGAUGAUUUUUAAAGUGCAAUUAAAGUUUUCUUACUGACUGUAUAAGUGAAAGAAUAUCAUGAGUACAUAAGUAACAUUUUUGAGUGAAAUUAAAAACAAAAUUACGAAAAUUUAAGUACAAAUAGGAUAAUAUUAUACUAUCUUCAGCAUA